GACCUCAAUAAACUGUACAACUUUUGUUAUAUAUGUCUAAACAAAAUAUUUACGAGUAAAAAGUUAUGAUUUAUAACGUGGAAAAAAAUUGGCCACUUUUCUAAACUCCAUUUUCGACCCCUACCGAGCUUCCAUACUAGGCACUUCCGGAAAUUUUUAAAACCCAGGUGCACAACUACAACAUGUCGUCUAACAUCACUGAAAAUUUCAGCACUCUAGCUUUUAUGGUUUUUGAGUUUUUGUCUGGACAAAAUGGUCAUCUGAAAAUCGAUAAAAGGGGGAUAACUUCCAACCGGAAGUGAUUUUUCAAAAAUUGAAACGGCGGUACAAACUUCAAAUGGCAACGCAUCAAUCCUGAAAAUUUGAAGCAAAUCGAUCCAGCCAUCUCCGAGAAAUCUUCUGCACAAAAAUCGGUAAGGAGAAAAAAAAAGAAUAAUAAUAAUAACUAGUGAUCCUAAUUGUUCGCGAACAAUUAGAGGGCUUCCCACCUUCUAGCGGUUUUUCAGUAGUGUUGAAAUGCUAAAAGCCCCCCCCCCCCUACCCCAUCCCACCCUCACCCAAAAAACAAAAAAAAAAAAAAAAAAAAUGAUUUGGCUAGAAAAGAAAUUCAAAUUUGCCGCCUAAAUUUGAGUGUUGAGGUGUGUUCAAUGCUUGGUUUCGCAUUAAGUACCCGUCAAAUUUGAGGGAGAAAAGGGGUGUGGGUGUUGGGUAGCCAGCACAUAUGCACAUAUCAGGUAAAAGUGUAAUGGGACUUGUGCAGGUGUUUGGGGUGACUUUGGACCUGUUAGAUGUGAUAUUUGGAGGUGCAAAGAAACCGGAUGUGCCAUUUUCCUAGAUUGUAGUAACUGCUGGUGCAUGCUGGGAGUCUAUACAAGCCUCAUGUUGUCAGAUGUUGUGAAGAUGCACUGGAUUUGACCGUGUGUGUUGUGGAUUGUGGAAUUGAAUAUACAGUUUGUAAUGGCUCAUCCUAUGUGUUCUAAUUCACGGAGACAAUGUCUUUCAGUCAUUUCACCCAAGGAGGCAUGCAUAUACGGAUUGAUAGGCUUUGACAACAAACAACCAAAAUGGCGGCCGGUGAAUUAGAAAGUGUCUGAGUGCAUGUAGGAUAUCUGAACGGAGAAUAGGAGUACUGCAUCCCAUCUGAUCCUGCAGUCAUUUCACCCAAGGAGGCAUGCAUAUACGGAUUGAUAGGCUUUGACAACAAACAACCAAAAUGGCGGCCGGUGAAUUAGAAAGUGUCUGAGUGCAUGUAGGAUAUCUGAACGGAGAAUAGGAGUACUGCAUCCCAUCUGAUCCUGCAGUCAUUUCACCCAAGGAGGCAUGCAUAUACGGAUUGAUAGGCUUUGACAACAAACAACCAAAAUGGCGGCCGGUGAAUUAGAAAGUGUCUGAGUGCAUGUAGGAUAUCUGAACGGAGAAUAGGAGUACUGCAUCCCAUCUGAUCCUGCAGUCAUUUCACCCAAGGAGGCAUGCAUAUACGGAUUGAUAGGCUUUGACAACAAACAACCAAAAUGGCGGCCGGUGAAUUAGAAAGUGUCUGAGUGCAUGUAGGAUAUCUGAACGGAGAAUAGGAGUACUGCAUCCCAUCUGAUCCUGCAGUCAUUUCACCCAAGGAGGCAUGCAUAUACGGAUUGAUAGGCUUUGACAACAAACAACCAAAAUGGCGGCCGGUGAAUUAGAAAGUGUCUGAGUGCAUGUAGGAUAUCUGAACGGAGAAUAGGAGUACUGCAUCCCAUCUGAUCCUGCAGUCAUUUCACCCAAGGAGGCAUGCAUAUACGGAUUGAUAGGCUUUGACAACAAACAACCAAAAUGGCGGCCGGUGAAUUAGAAAGUGUCUGAGUGCAUGUAGGAUAUCUGAACGGAGAAUAGGAGUACUGCAUCCCAUCUGAUCCUGCAGUUAAAUACUUGGGAACUUCGAAGUCCAAAUCAGUGUUAGUCAGGUCUAUAACAAAGCAACAACCAUGAUCCGAGCUCUCGUUCUCCUCAGUGUCUGUGUCGCUAUGGCGUACUCCGCCGGAUACCAACCCGGUGCUUACAUUCCCGGUGGUCACAUUGGAGCUGGACAUGGUGGUGGUAUCGGCAGUGGCAUCAUCGGUAGAGGCGGACGUCAGUGGGGCUCUCGUCGGCAGUGGUCUAACUCCUGGCAGUCUGGUAGCCAAGGAGGAAUAGGAGGACACGGUGCUGCUGCCAUUGGAAGUGGAAUAGCAAGAAUCAUUGGCGGUGGUCCCAGAGGCGUACGUAUUGGCGGAGGACAAGGGAGGAUCAACGGGGGUGGUCACGGAUGUGGGCCCUAUGGUUGUAACCAAUACGGACGUAAAUAGAUCAAUAUAAGUGGAACUUCAUCUUGUUAUUUAUUUAUUUAUUGGAAUUGUAAAUCCAGUAUUUAUUUUUCAAAUGUUACAUGUUCAAUCAAAUGUUCACAAUAAACGUCUGAAAAUAA